rnacentral:rRNA from 1 species
CCCUUAGAUGUUCUGGGCCGCACGCGCGCUACACUGAUGCGCUCAACGAGUUUUAACCUUGCCUGGAAAGGUUGGGUAAUCUUUUUAAAACGCAUCGUGAUGGGGAUAGAUUAUUGCAAUUAUUAAUCUUCAACGAGGAAUGCCUAGUAAGCGUGAUUCAUCAAAUCGCGUUGAUUACGUCCCUGCCCUUUGUACACACCGCCCGUCGCUCCUACCGAUUGAAUGUGUUGGUGAGGAGCUCGGAUUGGCAGCAGUUGGUGGUUCGCCACCGGCUAUUGCUGAGAAGUCCUCCAAACCGCCCCAUUUAGAGGAAGGAGAAGUCGUAACA